AUUGAACGCUGGCGGCAUGCUUUACACAUGCAAGUCGAACGGCAGCGCGGGGGCAACCCUGGCGGCGAGUGGCGAACGGGUGAGUAAUGCAUCGGAACGUAUCCUGUAAUGGGGGAUAACGUAGCGAAAGUUACGCUAAUACCGCAUACGCUCGAGAGAGGAAAGUGGGGGAUCGCAAGACCUCACGUUAUAGGAGCGGCCGAUGUCCGAUUAGCUAGUUGGUGGGGUAAAGGCCUACCAAGGCGACGAUCGGUAGCUGGUCUGAGAGGAUGAUCAGCCACACUGGGACUGAGACACGGCCCAGACUCCUACGGGAGGCAGCAGUGGGGAAUUUUGGACAAUGGGUGAAAGCCUGAUCCAGCCAUGCCGCGUGCGGGAAGAAGG
rnacentral:rRNA from 1 species